rnacentral:rRNA from 1 species
GAUGAACGCUAGCUACAGGCUUAACACAUGCAAGUCGCGGGGCAGCAUGGGGGUUGCUUGCAAUCCCCGAUGGCGACCGGCGCACGGGUGAGUAACGCGUAUCCAACCUGCCCUUCACCACGGGAUAACCCGGCGAAAGUCGGACUAAUACCGUAUGUUGUCCAUUGACGGCAUCCGAUUUGGACGAAAGGUUUGGCGGUGAAGGAUGGGGAUGCGUCCGAUUAGCUGGACGGCGGGGUGACGGCCCACCGGGGCGACGAUCGGUAGGGGUUCUGAGAGGAAGGUCCCCCACACUGGAACUGAGACACGGUCCAGACUCCUACGGGAGGCAGCAGUGAGGAAUAUUGGUCAAUGGGCGUAAGCCUGAACCAGCCAAGUAGCGUGCAGGAUGACGGCCCUAUGGGUUGUAAACUGCUUUUAUGCGGGGAUAAAGUGGCCCACGUGUGGGUUUUUGCAGGUACCGCAUGAAUAAGGACCGGCUAAUUCCGUG